AGCGAACGCUGGCGGCAGGCCUAACACAUGCAAGUCGAGCGCCCAGCAAUGGGAGCGGCAGACGGGAUAGUAACACGUGGGAACGUACCUUUCAGUUCGGAACAACCCAGGGAAACUUGGGCUAAUACCGAAUACGUCCGUAAGGAGAAAGAUUUAUCGCUGAAAGAUCGGCCCGCGUCUGAUUAGCUAGUUGGUGAGGUAAUGGCUCACCAAGGCGACGAUCAGUAGCNGGUCUGAGAGGAUGAUCAGCAUCACUGGGACUGAGACACGGCCCAGACUCCUACGGGAGGCAGCAGUGGGGAAUAUUGGACAAUGGGCGCAAGCCUGAUCCAGCCAUGCCGCGUGGAUGAUGAAGGCCUUAGGGUUGUAAAGUCCUUUCGGCGGGGAAGAUAAUGACGGUACCCGCAGAAGAAGCCCCGGCUAACUUCGUGCCAGCCGCCGCCGU
rnacentral:rRNA from 1 species